rnacentral:rRNA from 1 species
GUGCCAGCCGCCGCGGUAAUACCGGCAGCCCGAGUGAUGGCCGAUCUUAUUGGGCCUAAAGCGUCCGUAGCUGGCCGCGCAAGUUCGUCGGGAAAUCCACUCGCUUAACGAGUGGGCGUCCGGCGAAAACUGUGCGGCUUGGGACCGGAAGAUCCAAGGGGUACGUCCGGGGUAGGAGUGAAAUCCUGUAAUCCUGGACGGACCGCCGAUGGCGAAAGCACGUCGCGAAGACGGAUCCGACAGUGAGGGACGAAAGCUAGGGUCUCAAACCGGAUUAGAAACCCCGGUAGUCC